rnacentral:tRNA from 1 species
GUCUCCGUGGCGCAGUGGAUAGCGCGCUGGACUUCUAAUCCAGAGGCCGCGGGUUCGAAUCCCGUCGGAGAUG